rnacentral:lncRNA from 1 species
CUCCCUCCAACUCCUCCCCAGGGAUCACACUUUCUUAGGUUUAACAACUUCUCCCUUUUCAAAUAGGUCAUCUUGGUCUAAAAAUCAACUUUCGGCUAUACUCCCUACCGCCACUGAGUGUUCAAGAACUCACAUGGUUUCUGAUCCUUUCUGGCAUCUAGGUCUCCUCUCCCCAAGCCCAGGAACAUUUACUUACUGGACACUCGCACAGCCCACGAUAGUUGAUAUUCAGAGAUGUCAGUAUCAAUUCUACCAGACCUCAACACAAUUUCCACAGCCCUUUUUACACUCACACCUACCUCCAAGACCAUGCCUACAUCUGAACCACACCCCCCCCCAAUUAAAUUACAGGGGCUGAAUGACAAACACGGUGUCUUCAGUGCAGUAUCCAUACACGGAACGUUAUCUGCUUCCCACACUUGUUUACAGAAACAAGCUUAUGAACGACCUUCAGAACACAAAACACACGAUUCUCUGCAGACUCCUUGUCUAGCCUUUAUUCAACGAACCUGCCUAACAGACAAGCAGACUUCCACCUGCUAGUAGUGCCUAUAUGCCUGCACGCGUGGAGGCAUCCAAAGGGAGCUUCUGCGUUGAGACGGGGCCUCGAGUCACCAAGGCAGGCCUCUUGGCUCCCUGUUUAGCUGAGGAGGAUUUUGAACUGAGUCAUCCUCUUGCCUCUACCUCCCAUGUGCUGCAAAACCUGGCCCGAGCUACCAUGCUGGGUUCCUAAAAUGUUUCUUGAGGCUUCACGCCUUCUAAAAGUGCUAAGAAAUCCUUAGGGGUAAAUAUAAAACUAAAAGUUUCCAGGUCUGCGGGCUGGAAAGAUGUCUCAGAGGUUAAGAGUACUGACUCAACUUCCAGAAGUCUUGGGUUCCAUUCCGAGCACCCACAUGGCAGCUCACAGUUGUCUGUAACUCCGGCUCCAGGGGAACAGGACACCCAUGGCAAAACACCAAUGCGCAUAAAGUAAAAACAAAUAAACAAGGCUUUAAAAAGUUGAUCAAGAUGAUAGCAGUUCGAGACCUGCUUGAGGUAACUGAAGUAGUCCCACAAAAACAAACUGAAAGAAGGAAAAAAAUCCCUCCACGUCGACAAGGGCAAUUCUGUGAAACCUUUUACAAUCGGAAAAU